rnacentral:rRNA from 3 species
UUCCGUAGGGUGAACCUGCGGAAGGAUCAUU